AACGAACGCUGGCGGCAGGCUUAACACAUGCAAGUCGAUCGCACACUUCGGUGUGAGAGGCGCACGGGUGAGUAACACGUGGGAACAUACCUUGGAGUACGGAAUAACUAAGGGAAACUUUAGCUAAUACCGUAUACGCCCUUAGGGGGAAAGAUUUAUCGCUCCAAGAUUGGCCCGCGUCCGAUUAGCUAGUUGGUGAGGUAACGGCUCACCAAGGCGACGAUCGGUAGCUGGUCUGAGAGGAUGAUCAGCCACACUGGGACUGAGACACGGCCCAGACUCCUACGGGAGGCAGCAGUGGGGAAUAUUGGACAAUGGGCGAAAGCCUGAUCCAGCCAUGCCGCGUGAGUGAAGAAGGCCUUCGGUUGUAAGCUCUUUCAGGUGG
rnacentral:rRNA from 1 species